rnacentral:lncRNA from 1 species
CGCAACUCCUCUUCAGAUGAAAGGACAAAUCAGAAGAGCAAGAUAGUGGGAAGGCAGAGGGAGAGGAAGAGAGAAUUUCAAGAAGACUCCCCACUGAGCACAGAGCCCAACUUGGGGCCCUAUCUACAACCCUGAGAUCAUGACCUGAGCCAAAAUCAAAAGUCAGAUACUUAACCGACUGAGCCACCCAGACGCUCUCCUCUUAAUUCUUACAAUGACCCUAUGAUGUAUAAGAGUUUUCAGUCCAAUUAAAAAAAUAUUACCCCCAAAUCCCAUGGCUGGUAAGUCGCAGAGCUUGGAUUCAAAUCCAAGUUCAGUGCUUUCCCCCUUAUUUUAAUGGCUAUUUUGAAUAUUAUUCAAU